CGAGCCGAUCACGCUUGGAGCUAGGAAUCCGGAGGAGGAGGAGUCGCUACGCCAUCUCUGGGAUUCGAAAACUGGUGGCUGNNNNNNNNNNNNNNNNNUGCAUAAAUUAAUAUCUUAUUCAUAGCACUUAUCAUUAUUUUAAUUCACAUAUUUUGUAAAUUUAACUAAAAAAAUGUAUUACUUUCAUCAACACCUUUUAAUAAAUUAGAGGUAAUUCAAGUUUGAUUUGAUUAUUUGUUGAUCGAGUCUAAUGUAUACAGGUCAAGUCAAACUCAUGUGGGAUGAUCACUGAACUCGAAUAGCAUGCAUCCCGUGAAGUAGAUUCUCUCGGUUCUAAUUCGGCCAUUCAUCUCAAUUCUUCUGCAUCACAUCUCAACCAUUCGCAUUUAAUUUCUUCACAUCAUUCACUCAUUAAAACAAGUCCCUUUCUUCCAUGUGUGCAUGGAUCUUGUCCUAGCCCCCUGCUUCAAAAUAGAACCAAACCGCAUCCUAUUCUUUUGGCUUCAUCCUAGCAUCCAUGUUUGAUCCCAUGAAAUGUCCCAAACAGAGACUCUUCCUUCCCUCCCAUGUCCGAAGAACAAAGUUGUUCUAGAUUUCUUCCCAACUGAAUGGAUAUGUUCCAGGACCACAUGAUUCCCUGCAUCUCAAAAUAGAGUCCCAUGAUCCACGAGAUGAACCCAAAUCCCAUCUUUCGGCUUGAUCCCAGGAGUCAUCCUCAUCCCGUGAGCAUCCCCUGUUUUCCAGCCAUGCCGAGCAUCACGGAAGAAGCUCACGCGUGCAUGACCCACAUCCUCCCGAGUCGACCCAAUCUCCUUCUCCACAUUUCCUCCACGUCUCUCUACCGAAACAUCCCCUGUUCUUCGUCAUGUGAUCCCAGCCGAACACAUUCAUUCACAUCUCAGCGUCAUCUUCUCCCGCGACGCAUGCCAAGCAAACCAACUUUUAUCUUCAUCCAUGUCCUCAACCGAAUCCAGACCCGAUCCGGAUUUGCGCCCAAUCUUUACGUGAUUCCUCCCUAACCUCUCAACUCCACGCUCCCAGCUUUAUCCCUUCCGUAUUCCAAAUUCCAGCAUCCCAUGGAUCAUCUCCUCGGAUCUCAGCCAACCGCAAAUCAAAUUCAAAGCCUCCCUUAUCCCCCUACUUUGGAACAGAACCAGGAUCUUCUCAACGUCCUUGGCAGCCCAUGCAUAUGCGAACCAGCUUGCAUCCUAUCCCAUCUUCGGAACAACAUCUUCCCAGCUCCCCUGCAUUCACGGCAUCCAAGUUUCUCAGUUCCCGUGUCCCACAACAAGACCUCCCGCAUGAUCCGGGAUGAAUUCAAAGAAAAACCCGGCUUCUUCCGCUAGAUCCCAGCAUCCCAAGAUCAUUCGUAUCCAGCUGAAUCUAUCCUUCUAAUAUCCCACAGAUCAGCCCUUCCUCCCAACUUCUGAAUCCAACUACUCCACGUCCUUCCCAAGCUUCACGGACCAGCAUUUCACAUCUUCCCUUCAUCUCGAUCACACCCAGCCAGCUUCCGAUCUUUUCUCCUUUCGAAACAGAGUAUCAGCUUAUCCACUAUAUCCGGAUUCAUCCCAGCAUCAGCUCCGCAUUCAUCCUUAUCCUUCUCAGCCGAAUCAAGCAUCUCAGCCGGAUUCCCACGCUUCCUCGUAGCCGUUCCAACUCCCCUGUUCCAGCUGCAACCUUAUCCCAAAAAAAAAACAGAGCCACAUGUGAUCUCCUCUUCAUCCCGUUCGGAUUGGUUCCAUCUCCACGGGAUAAAUUCAAAUCCCCUGUUCCGGAUUACUCCCAACGUCCCAAGCUUCCCGAACUUCCUCUCGUUCCAGAUCAACUUGUAUCUGAGAUUUCCUCUCACAAAUCCAAACCGAACAACCACCCAGUCGUUUUUUCCUCCGCUCAUCUCAUUUCGUGUUCAUCUUCCCAUCGCCCAGCUCGCUCCCAACUGUUUCAUCCAUGACGUCGUUCCAUCAUCCAGCUUCCACACGCGACGGAUUCUUCCCACGUUAUCCAUAGCACGUCCGGAGAUCAAGCAAGAAUCUUUCAGCCUUAUCCCGCUGCCGUUGAUCCAUCUUUAUCUCAACUUGAAACAGGGGAGAGAGGGGGAGAAACGCAGCCUAUAAAAGGCCCAGGCGUGAACCGAGAAGGCUAUUCCUCCUUCCCCACGGGGGGGGGGGGGCUGCUCCCAUCAACUUCUAUUCGGAAGGAGGGAGCCGGCUGGUCCCAAGCUCUUCACAGGCCAAGUUCCCACAGAGAUUCCAGGAGGGAGAAGAGUUUCUUGAGUACUUUGGGAAUGACUUUCCAAAGGAAGAGAUGACGAGGUGCUGAGAGGAAGCUGACGGGAGGAAAAAGGGAAAGCCAAUCAUUAUGAAGUCCCGCUGCUGUGCCACUGCUGCUGUCACCCACAACUCCAUGGAAGCUUGAUCUCCUCUCUAGGGCCGGAUGCAACCCUAACAAAGGGACACGGGUUUUAUAUUUUAUUUUAUAUUCUUGGGGUUGUAUGAACUUAUUGUUUAUAAUGAAUAUCUUCUUUUGAAUCAUAUUUAA
rnacentral:lncRNA from 1 species